CACGGCUGCGGGGGGGCGUCCAGCUGACUGUAGCAGAGUUUUCUGUGAUGUCCGAGAAAGAGAUUCCCUUGGGAGAUCCCACAACUGUGGUUGCUACUGAAUUUAUGGGUUGGGAGCGCCGUCCACUGCUAACUCCAUAGAGCUCAAUUUCAUACUCAGUGCCCUCUUUCAGCCCUGUUAUAUCAUGGGUGCGCUCAUGGCCUGGUACUAUGAGUUCCAGUGGAUCAGAUUUC
rnacentral:lncRNA from 1 species